UACGUAGGUGGCAAGCGUUAUCCGGAUUUACUGGGUGUAAAGGGCGUGUAGGCGGGACUGCAAGUCAGAUGUGAAAACCACGGGCUCAACCUGUGGCCUGCAUUUGAAACUGUAGUUCUUGAGUACUGGAGAGGCAGACGGGAUUCCUAGUGUAGCGGUGAAAUGCGUAGAUAUUAGGAGGAACACCAGUGGCGAAGGCGGUCUGCUGGACAGCAACUGACGCUGAGGCGCGAAAGCGUGGGGAGCAAACAGG
rnacentral:rRNA from 1 species